UACAGGGAGGUCCCGAGCGUUGUUCGGAUUCAGCUGGGCGUAAGGUGCGUAGGUGGCGUGGUAAGUUUGAUGUGGAAAAGCUCGAGGGCUUUAACCCUGAAAUGGCAUUGAAUACUACCAGGCUGGAGGUUUGGAGGGGGACUGGAAUUCUGGUGUAGCAGUGAAAUGCGUAGAUAUCAAGAGGAACACCAGUGGCGAAGGCGAGUCCCUGGACAACACCUGACACUGAGGCACGAAAGCUAGGGGAGCAAACAGG
rnacentral:rRNA from 1 species